AUGACAAUUAACAAGGCGUAGGGUCAGACUAUCCCAAACGUCGGUAUUUACCUUCCCGAGCCAGUAUUCUCACAUGGUCAGCUAUAUGUUGCAUUGUCAAGGGGAGUGUCUAGAGAGACGACACGAAUUUCGGCCAAGCCAAACAAGGAGGUUGAUAAAUUCGGAAAAGGCACAAAGAACAUUGUCUACAGAGAUGUUUUGGGGAGUUGA
rnacentral:rRNA from 1 species